UGGGGAAUCUUAGACAAUGGGGGAAACCCUGAUCUAGCCAUGCCGCGUGAGUGACGAAGGCCCUAGGGUCGUAAAGCUCUUUCAGCUGUGAAGAUAAUGACGGUAGCAGCAGAAGAAACCCCGGCUAACUCCGUGCCAGCAGCCGCGGUAAUACGGAGGGGGUUAGCGUUGUUCGGAAUUACUGGGCGUAAAGCGUACGUAGGCGGAUUAGUAAGUUAGAGGUGAAAUCCCGGGGCUCAACCCCGGAACUGCCUUUAAUACUGCUAGUCUUGAGUUCGAGAGAGGUGAGUGGAAUUCCGAGUGUAGAGGUGAAAUUCGUAGAUAUUCGGAGGAACACCAGUGGCGAAGGCGGCUCACUGGCUCGAUACUGACGCUGAGGUACGAAAGUGUGGGGAGCAAACAGGAUUAGAUACCCCCGUAGUCC
rnacentral:rRNA from 1 species